rnacentral:rRNA from 1 species
CCACGCCGUAAACGAUGGAUACUAGACGUUGGGGAGAGAUUCUUCAGUGUCGUAAGCUAACGCAAUAAGUAUCCCACCUGGGGAUUACGACCGCAAGGUUAAAACUCAAAGGAAUUGACGGGGGCCCGCACAAGCAGUGGAGUAUGUGGUUUAAUUCGAUGCAACGCGAAGAACCUUACCAGGGCUUGACAUAUAUUUGAAUAAUAUAGAGAUAUAUUAGUCUUCGGACAAAUAUACAGGUGGUGCAUGGUUGU